CCGCGAAUUCGCCCUUCGGGGUGCACCAGGCGCGAAACCUUUACAAUGCUGGCAACGGCGAUAGGGGGACCUCGAGUGCCAGGUUACAAAUCUGGCUGUCGUUGUGUCUAAAAAACACGAUAUAGCAAGGGCCGGGCAAGACCGGUGCCAGCCGCCGCGGUAACACCGGCGGCUCGAGUGGUAACCGUUAUUAUUGGGUUUAAAGGGUCUGUAGCCGGCCUGGUUAGUCCUUUGGGAAAUCCGGCAGCUCAACUGUCGGGCUUUCAGAGGAUACUGCCAGGCUCGAGACCGGGAGAGGUAAGAGGUACUUCAGGGGUAGGGGUGAAAUCUUGUAAUCCUUGAAGGACCACCAGUGGCGAAGGCGUCUUACCAGAACGGAUCUGACGGCAAGGGACGAAAGCUAGGGGCACGAACCGGAUUAGAUACCCGGGUAGUCCUAGCCGUAAACGAUACUCGCUAGGUGUCGGCCACGGUGCGACCGUGGUCGGUGCCGUAGGGAAACCGUGAAGCGAGCCACCUGGGAAGUACGGCCGCAAGGCUGAAACUUAAAGGAAUUGGCGGGGGAGCAC
rnacentral:rRNA from 1 species